CCCUGGAAACGGGGUCUAAUACCGGAUACUGAUCAUCUUGGGCAUCCAAGGUGUUCGAAAGCUCCGGCGGUGCAGGAUGAGCCCGCGGCCUAUCAGCUUGUUGGUGAGGUAAUGGCUCACCAAGGCGACGACGGGUAGCCGGCCUGAGAGGGCGACCGGCCACACUGGGACUGAGACACGGCCCAGACUCCUACGGGAGGCAGCAGUGGGGAAUAUUGCACAAUGGGCGAAAGCCUGAUGCAGCGACGCCGCGUGAGGGAUGACGGCCUUCGGGUUGUAAACCUCUUUCAGCAGGGAAGAAGCGAAAGUGACGGUACCUGCAGAAGAAGCGCCGGCUAACUACGUGCCAGCAGCCGCGGUAAUACGUAGGGCGCGAGCGUUGUCCGGAAUUAUUGGGCGUAAAGAGCUCGUAGGCGGCUUGUCGCGUCGGUUGUGAAAGCCCGGGGCUUAACCCCGGGUCUGCAGUCGAUACGGGCAGGCUAGAGUUCGGUAGGGGAGAUCGGAAUUCCUGGUGUAGCGGUGAAAUGCGCAGAUAUCAGGAGGAACACCGGUGGCGAAGGCGGAUCUCUGGGCCGAUACUGACGCUGAGGAGCGAAAGCGUGGGGAGCGAACAGGAUUAGAUACCCUGGUAGUCCACGCCGUAAACGGUGGGCACUAGGUGU
rnacentral:rRNA from 1 species